rnacentral:lncRNA from 1 species
UGCCUCUAUGGGGUCUCUUAAGGGUUUCUAUGGGGUGUCUCUAUGUGUCUCUUUGGGUUUCACUGUCCCUUACUGCAAUCCAUGGGGUCUCUAUGGGUCCCAGUGUCCCCCUAUGUGUCCCAAUGUCUCCCUAUGGGUGUCUAUGUGUCCCUAUGUGUCCCAAUGUCCCCCCUAUGGGUUGCUAUGUGCCUCUAUGGGGUCUCUAUGGGGUCUCUUAUGGGUAUCUCUGGGCCCAAAUGUCUUCCUAUGGGUAUCUAUGGGUUUCAAUGUGGUCCUAUGUGUCCCUAUGGGUCUUAAUGGCUCCUAAUGUGUCCCUAUGAGUCUAUAUGUGGUCUCACUGUCCCCCACUGAAAUCCAUGGGGUCCCUAUGUCUCCCUUUGUCCCCAUAUGGGUCCCAGUGUCUUUCUAUGGGUCUCUAUGUGUCCCUAUGUGUCCCUAUGUCCCCCCUAUGGGUUGCUAUGUUCCUCUAUGGGGUCUCUUAUGGGUAUCUAUGGGCUUAAAUGUCCUCCUAUGGGUAUCUAUGGGUUUCAAUGUGGUCCCUAUGUGCCUCUAUGGGGUCUCUUAUGGGUCUCAGCGGGGUCCCUAUGUGUCUCUAUGGGCCUCACUGUCCCUCACUCCGUGUCUAUACAUAAACAGAUACAAACGCUGCACGCAUUAACUAACCGUUUGCAGGUGCAAUCUGGUUUUGGUCUUGAUGACUGGCUUAGAAGUUUAGGUUUAGGCCCCUGGCUUACUUCUCUACUACAGCAUUUGAUUACAAUCGGUCUGGUACUGAUAGCUAUCAUAUUAAUAGUUCCUUGCCUCUUUAAAUGCUUGCAAAAUGCGCUUAUGAGAAUGGUCGACUCAAAAUACAAUGUUUCCUUAGUUGUCCAAAAAGAAAACGGGGGAAAUGUGGAGAAUGUUUAUGCAGAAUGGCUUCAUGAGAAAGGACAUGAAGAGAUUCCACUAGUUAAAUUGUAAAAGAAUGAACGUGACUGAAGACAACGACGGUCUAUCCUAGGGCCGAUCAC